rnacentral:rRNA from 1 species
GCUCAGAUUGAACGCUGGCGGCAUGCCUUACACAUGCAAGUCGAACGGCAGCACGGGUGCUUGCACCUGGUGGCGAGUGGCGAACGGGUGAGUAAUACAUCGGAACAUGUCCUGUAGUGGGGGAUAGCCCGGCGAAAGCCGGAUUAAUACCGCAUACGAUCUACGGAUGAAAGCGGGGGACCUUCGGGCCUCGCGCUAUAGGGUUGGCCGAUGGCUGAUUAGCUAGUUGGUGGGGUAAAGGCCUACCAAGGCGACGAUCAGUAGCUGGUCUGAGAGGACGACCAGCCACACUGGGACUGAGACACGGCCCAGACUCCUACGGGAGGCAGCAGUGGGGAAUUUUGGACAAUGGGCGAAAGCCUGAUCCAGCAAUGCCGCGUGUGUGAAGAAGGCCUUCGGGUUGUAAAGCACUUUUGUCCGGAAAGAAAUCCUUGGCUCUAAUACAGUCGGGGGAUGACGGUACCGGAAGAAUAAGCACCGGCUAACUACGUGCCAGCAGCCGCGGUAAUACGUAGGGUGCGAGCGUUAAUCGGAAUUACUGGGCGUAAAGCGUGCGCAGGCGGUUUGCUAAGACCGAUGUGAAAUCCCCGGGCUCAACCUGGGAACUGCAUUGGUGACUGGCAGGCUAGAGUAUGGCAGAGGGGGGUAGAAUUCCACGUGUAGCAGUGAAAUGCGUAGAGAUGUGGAGGAAUACCGAUGGCGAAGGCAGCCCCCUGGGCCAAUACUGACGCUCAUGCACGAAAGCGUGGGGAGCAAACAGGAUUAGAUACCCUGGUAGUCCACGCCCUAAACGAUGUCAACUAGUUGUUGGGGAUUCAUUUCCUUAGUAACGUAGCUAACGCGUGAAGUUGACCGCCUGGGGAGUACGGUCGCAAGAUUAAAACUCAAAGGAAUUGACGGGGACCCGCACAAGCGGUGGAUGAUGUGGAUUAAUUCGAUGCAACGCGAAAAACCUUACCUACCCUUGACAUGGUCGGAAUCCUGCUGAGAGGCGGGAGUGCUCGAAAGAGAACCGGCGCACAGGUGCUGCAUGGCUGUCGUCAGCUCGUGUCGUGAGAUGUUGGGUUAAGUCCCGCAACGAGCGCAACCCUUGUCCUUAGUUGCUACGCAAGAGCACUCUAAGGAGACUGCCGGUGACAAACCGGAGGAAGGUGGGGAUGACGUCAAGUCCUCAUGGCCCUUAUGGGUAGGGCUUCACACGUCAUACAAUGGUCGGAACAGAGGGUUGCCAACCCGCGAGGGGGAGCUAAUCCCAGAAAACCGAUCGUAGUCCGGAUUGCACUCUGCAACUCGAGUGCAUGAAGCUGGAAUCGCUAGUAAUCGCGGAUCAGCAUGCCGCGGGUGAAUACGUUCCCCGGGUCUUGUACACACCGCCCGUCACACCAUGGGAAGUGGGUUUUACCAGAAGUGGCUAGUCUAACCGCAAGGAGGACGGUCACCACGGUAGGAUUCAUGACUGGGGGUGAAGUCGUAACAAGGUAGCCGUAUCGG